rnacentral:rRNA from 1 species
AUUGAACGCUAGCGGCAUGCUUUACACAUGCAAGUCGAACGAGUGGCGGACGGGUGAGUAACACAUCGGAACGUGCCCAGUAGCGGGGGAUAACUAUCCGAAAGGGGGGCUAAUACAGCAUAUUAUUGGAGCGGCCGAUGUCGGAUUAGCUGGUUGGUGGGGUAAAGGCUCACCAAGGCGACGAUCAGUAGCGGGUCUGAGAGGAUGAUCCGCCACACUGGGACUGAGACACGGCCCAGACUCCUACGGGAGGCAGCAGUGGGGAAUUUUGGACAAUGGGCGAAACCCUGAUCCAGCCAUGCCGCGUGUAUGAAGAAGGCCUUCGGGUUGUAAAGGACUUUUGUCAGGGAAGCGGUAUCUGAAGAAUAAGCACCGGCUAACUACGUGCCAGCAGCCGCGGUAAUAC